AGAGUUUGAUCCUGGCUCAGGAUGAACGCUGGCGGCGUGCCUAAUACAUGCAAGUCGAACGCAUAUCAGUAAUGAUAUGAGUGGCGAACGGGUGAGUAAUACAUAAGCAACCUGGCCUUUUGAGGGGGAUAACUGCUGGAAACGGCAGCUAAGACCGCAUAGGUAUAUCUAUUGCAUGAUAGAUAUAUUAAAUAUCCCACGGGAUAGCGAGAGGAUGGGCUUAUGACGCAUUAGCUAGUUGGUAAGGGUAGCGGCCUACCAAGGCGACGAUGCGUAGCCGGCCUGAGAGGGUGAACGGCCACACUGGGACUGAGACACGGCCCAGACUCCUGCGGGAGGCAGCAGUAGGGAAUUUUCGUCAAUGGGCGCAAGCCUGAACGAGCGAUGCCGCGUGAGUGAAGAAGGCCUUCGGGUCGUAAAGCUCUGUUGCGGGGGAAAAAAGGCAGCAUCAGGAAAUGGGUGCUGACUGAUGGUGCCCCGCCAGAAAGUCACGGCUAACUACGUGCCAGCAGCCGCGGUAAUACGUAGGUGGCGAGCGUUAUCCGGAAUGAUUGGGCGUAAAGGGUGCGCAGGCGGUCCUGCAAGUCUGGAGUGAAACGCAUGAGCUCAACUCAUGCAUGGCUUUGGAAACUGGAGGACUGGAGAGCAGGAGAGGGCGGUGGAACUCCAUGUGUAGCGGUAAAAUGCGUAGAUAUAUGGAAGAACACCAGUGGCGAAGGCGGCCGCCUGGCCUGUUGCUGACGCUGAGGCACGAAAGCGUGGGGAGCAAAUAGGAUUAGAUACCCUAGUAGUCCACGCCGUAAACGAUGAGGACCAAGUGUUGGGGGUGAAACCUCAGUGCUGAAGUUAACGCAGUGAGUCCUCCGCCUGGGGAGUAUGCACGCAAGUGUGAAACUCAAAGGAAUUGACGGGGGCCCGCACAAGCGGUGGAGUAUGUGGUUUAAUUCGAAGCAACGCGAAGAACCUUACCAGGCCUUGACAUGGGAUGCGAAGAUGCAGAGAUGCAUCGGAGGUCGACAUCCACACAGGUGGUGCAUGGUUGUCGUCAGCUCGUGUCGUGAGAUGUUGGGUCAAGUCCCGCAACGAGCGCAACCCUUGUGGCAUGUUGCUAACAGGAAAAGCUGAGGACUCAUGCCAGACUGCCGGUGACAAACCGGAGGAAGGCGGGGAUGACGUCAAAUCAUCAUGCCCCUUAUGGCCUGGGCUACACACGUACUACAAUGGCGGCUACAAAGAGCAGCGAGACAGGGAUGUCGAGCGAAUCUCAUAAAAGCCGUCCCAGUUCGGAUUGGAGGCUGCAACCCGCCUCCAUGAAGUUGGAAUCGCUAGUAAUCGCGGAUCAGCAUGCCGCGGUGAAUACGUUCCCGGGCCUUGCACACACCGCCCGUCAA
rnacentral:rRNA from 1 species